ACUUGAGCUGUAUUCUGGGUAAUUGUCCAGUAAUAACCUUUGCUAAAUUAUACGAAGUCUUUACUUAACGGAGAACACAGGCUCCCCAGCCUCUAAUAUUAUCAUCGUUCAAGAUAAUGAGCCACACAAACCAUUCUAUUACCAAUCUUGAAGCAAUAAAUGUCAGAGUAAAGAAGUACGCAAUAUUCUUGCCUGAAAGAACAAAGGACAAAAGUAAUGAUAAUACCUCUUUAUAUCUGCGGUCUAUUAUAUCAUGCAUAACAAAUGGCGCCGUAAUCGAGAUGCUGUUAUUUUAACAGGUUAGAAGGAGAUGAGUGGGGGAGGUGAAGGGGUGUUUUGACUAUUGCUGUGAAAGAUGCUUCGAGCUUCUUAAGCUAAAACAGCCAGCAGGAGGAGGAGGUCAUGUUUAGAGUGCAUUGGUUUCAGUUCUUCUGUGAGUCACAUAAGGUGAAGAUUUCAGUGUUUGAUUAAACAUCCAAUUCGCUGUAUUGGUGACUUCAAGGUAGUUGGAACAUAGGACCUAAUACAGUAUAUUUCUUUCUAACUAAACCAUCAUCAGAAUAAACAGGGAGCAAGUAAAUCGUUUCUUAACUGGUCAUUUCCAACAGUCUAGUGGAAACCUGCGCUGGAAAGGAGAAUGUGUGUUAAGCAAACAAAACCCUGUUCCCUAGUGAAUGUGGACAGGACAGUGAUGUCCUGGCUGCAUCACCGCAGCUCACGUGUGUCCGUGUCUGCGAGCUCUUGGGUUUCAGGGCUGUGCAGGGAAAGGCCACUGGGCCACAGAUGAGGAGACCACGGGUCAUGCUCUGGCUGCUGCCUCGACUAACAUAUAAACAUACGACAUAACAAUGUGUUUGUCAAGUGAAAAGAGACUUGAAGCUCCUGUAGUCCAUAUCAGCUCCAUAAAAUACAAGGACAGCUGGGAAGUUCUGAGUUGUGUGAAGUUUUUUCACACAAGUUUUUCUCUUUAAAUUUACCCUCCCAAAUUCACCUAGAGAUGUGGGUGAUGGGCAGAUGCUCUGGAGACAAAGUCUGCUGGUACUUGGCAGAUUUCUCCCGUCUUAUAGCGUUUUGGUGGCAUUUUGUGGUAUAAUGCUGUCAGCCUC
rnacentral:lncRNA from 1 species